ACAUAAUUUGGAUUUCCUAGUUUUUACAGUAAAUCGAUAUUUAAAUACUUUUACCGCUAUUAUUUCAUUAAUUAUCGGAUGGUUCUGUCGAGAAAAAUUGCAACUCAUCUGGGAAAGAAUAAAAUUAACUGAGCAAUUUUUCGAAAUUUUUGGACUGAAGGAAACUUAUCAGAAAAUUUUUAUAGAAAGUUUAGUGACUUCGAUAUUUUGGGCAAUUGCAAUUUUUGUCACUUAUACCAUGGAUUUAAUAGGACAUUUGGAUGACUGGCAACUACUUCGAAGUUUAUAUUGUAUUUUUCGCUUUCAUUGGGCAAUUCAUGCAAAUACAGUUGUUGAUAUUUCGUUUACAAUAGCCCUCAGUUGCAUAAAUGAAACAUUUAAACGAAUGAAUUAUCUUCUGCAAAAAAAAUUUACAAAAACUAAACGCGAACGGUGUAAGAGAAUUAGGAAAAAAACGAAAUUUCAGAAAUUUUGGACAGUAUAGAUAAUUUAACAGAAAAGGAUGUGUUAGAGUUAGUGAGACAUUUGCAUCUGGAAGUUUGUGAAAUAACAAGAGAAAUUAAUAAAAUUUACCAAGUUCAUAUUGCAUUAGAAAUGUUAACAAAUUUUUCAUCUUUAACUGCAGUUCUUUAUUAUUUUUUAAAUUCAAUGCCUGAAUUAGAAAACUUUCCUAUGUCAGAUAUGAAAAUAUCGAUUGUUAACUUAGUAGGAUGGAUCAUAAUAUUUCUCAGCAGAUUUUUAUACGUUAAUGUUGUUGCCGAGAAAGUU